UACGUAGGCAGCAAGCGUUGUUCGGAGUUACUGGGCGUAAAGGGUGCGUAGGCGGUUGUUUAAGUUUGGUGUGAAAUCUCCCGCUCAACUGGGAGGGUGCGCCGAAUACUGAAUGACUAGAGUGCGGGGAGAGGAGAGUGGAAUUCCUGGUGUAGCGGUGAAAUGCGUAGAUAUCAGGAGGAACACCGGUGGUGUAGACGGCUCUCUGGACCGUAACUGACGCUGAGGCACGAAAGCGUGGGUAGCAAACAGG
rnacentral:rRNA from 1 species